UCACUCUGUUGCCUGAGGCGCGAUACCUCCUCUCAACGCAUUGCUGAAGAAUUCGCUCUUGAUUUUCCCUCAUGCAUACGAUCUUCUCCUCAAGCACUUUAAUGCGCUCAUCAGCAACAUAAUUUGUCACCGUAGCUGUCUUGCGGGAAGUGAGAGCUGCUGAAUGAGUCUGGGUAUAAAGUUGAAGCAUGAGAACCCAAACCAUACACACGUCGCU
rnacentral:misc_RNA from 1 species